CUCCCAGGGCUCUCUCCCCUGGCAGGCAUGAUAACAGCUCUGUGCAGUCAGGAGAAGAAAGGAACUGAUGCAUGCAGAGUACCUAGGAGGGCACUUGAUGCAUGCUUGGCGUUUGGUGAACCUUCCUGCCCCACUACCAUCUCUGAGCCAGAGGCUGGGGCAGAGUCGAUGGCUAAAGACUUCAUUAAAACAUCCUUUUCAGAAGGAAGGAAGAGAAAGAAAAAAGAAAGAAGGAAGGAAGGAAGGAAGGGAGGGAGGAAGGAAGGAAGGAAGGAAGAAAAGAAGGAAAGAAGGAAGGAAAUGGUUUUGCAGUCAGAAGACCCAGACCAAGUCACUUUACCGCUCCGGAGUCUUGUUUUCCUCAUCUCCCAGAGUGACUGUCAGAAUAUAUGCAAUACAUUCAGUAAUAGUCUAACAGUGCACGUGAAGUCUCUCACAGGUGGAUGUGCUAAAAACAAAGCAUGCUGUCUUCUCCACUUGCCCCUCCAGCUGGGCUCUCCUUUCUCUACCUGGGGAGGCAUCUGGGCUUCUCUGCUCUCUGGCUUCAACUUGGAAUUGGCUGAUGGAAGCGCUGGUGAAGAUUGGUGUCUAAAGGAAGAGAGAGGGGUUGGGUGUUUAUCACCCUGGCUCCCUUUCUCCUGCCGGGCUGAGUUGACUGUGUUGAGUUCAUUUACUUAAGGCCCCAGCUCCUUUCCUGCACUCCUUCCCCACUCCUUCAGGGCUGUGGCUAGUCCCUGGGUGCUCCUCAACCCUAACCCUUCCAACCCCUUCAGAGGGCUCUCUGCUUCCUGCUGGAACCCCCCACUGCAGAAAGAAGGUCCCGAUAGCCUAAAGGAUAGACCAGCUUUGGGGAAGUCUUCAGAGGUGCAGGGGUGAGAGCCCAGCUGGGAGAGGAGUCUGCAGUGCUGCCUGUCCAGCCGAGCCCUGUGGAGAGCAGCCCUAGUUGAGGCCUUGCUGCCCCAAUCUUCCUCCUGAAUUUUUCAAGAUCAAGGUCUUGUCUAGCCAACUUUGUUCUACCAGCCCAGGUGUCCAGGCUCUAGGACCCUGACUCACACUAGUAAACUCAUCCUGGACCAACUGAUAUGCCCCAAACUAGCAUACUCAUUGAUCCUGAGAAAGAUACAGGCUGAGUAGCAGGAAUCCUGAGGUCAACUGGUCAGGAGCUUCUCUUUCAGGAAUCAGUAGUAUUAUUAUUAAUAAUAACAGUGACCAGAUACUGAGUGCCUACUAUGUGUCUAGAAACUAGGACUUUCAUUCCUUCAUUCAGCAAAUAUUUAUGAAGGGUCUACUAGGAGUUCCCUGGUAGCUCAGUGGGUUAAGGAUCUGAUGUCACUGCUGUGGCUCGAGUUCGAUCCCUGGCCCAGGAACUUCUGUAUGCCACAGAUGCAGCCCAAUAAAAAGGGGGUCUACUAUAUGCCAGGUACCAUUCUAAGCCCUGGGGAUACAGCCAUGAACACAACACAUAAGAACACUGCCCUCUUGGAGCCCUAGGAGAUGGGCAUCUGUAGCCCUUAGUUAGUCCCCAAAUAAAAGUACUGAGGUCCAGAAAGUUGCCAAAGGCCUUCAGCUGGCAAGCGGCUGAGCCAAGAUUUGAACCUAUGCUUCCCAGCAGGAACCAUCAUCUUAGAAAGCUACAGAAGGAACUGGGGGCAGUUUGGGAAGAGCCAAAACCAACUGUCCAGAGAGAGAGAGGACCUGGGAGGAGG
rnacentral:lncRNA from 1 species